rnacentral:rRNA from 1 species
GACGAACGCUGGCGGCGUGCCUAAUACAUGCAAGUCGAACGCUGAAGGAAGGAGCUUGUCCUUUCCGGGUGAGUUGCGAACGGGUGAGUAACGCGUAGGUCACCUUCCUGGUAUCGGGGGAUAACUAUUGGAAACGAUAGCUAAUACCGCAUAACACUAGACGUUGCAUGAUCUCUACUUAAAAGGAGCGCUUGCACCACUACCAGUUGGACCUGCGUUGUAUUAGCUAGUUUGUCAGGUAACGGCGCACCCAGGCGACGAUGCAUAGCAGACCUGGGAGGGCGGAGAGCCACACUGGGAAUGAGACAAGGGACAGACGGCUCAGAGAGGUAGCAGUAGGGGAACUACGGAAAAGGGCGGAAGGCGGAACGAGCAAAGGCGGGUGAGUGAAGUAGGUGUUCGGAGCGUAAAGCUCGGUUGUAAGAGUAGAAAGAGAGUGAGAGCGGAAACUUCACAAUGUGACGGUAUCUUAACAGAAAGCGACGGCUAACUACGUG